GUGAGGAUGCAAUGCUUGGAGCUUUGGCAGCCGUCUUGUGAUCCUGAGAAGAAGGCCAAAAGCAGAACAACCUUGGAACUUCCUAUCUCCAGAAAUUUUCUUAGCCUCCAGCCAUCUCAAUAAAGGAUCUCAUACUCACCAGAACUGGACAUGAUGAAGUUGCCAUCCUUGGACCAGGCAAGGAAAGUCUCGGGGCAACCUCUGCACACGGACCCCUCCAAGUGUCGUCAUCCACCCUGGAUCAUCAGACAGGCGCAGACAUCGCUUGGGUCCUCCUCAGUCCACCCGGGGUGGACACGCAGCCCUCCCUGCAGCUUCCUCCUUCUCCCCCGCACUGAGGAGGAACUGCCACCCGCGGAGUCAGAGGCGGAGCAGAGGCUGGAGGUGCCCCGGCGCGAGAAGAGAGUAAACCUCUGGCAGGCAAGGGGUGUGGGUCCCACUGGGAGCCUUGGCCGCUCACCUGGGCCCAGCCCGGCCCCCUGAGAUGGGCUCCGUCUCCUCAGCGCUGGCGCGGUCCCGGUCCCGCAACGCCGUGGUGCAGUUGGGCUCCUCGCCACCGCCCCAUCCCGAGGCGCCUCCGGCUGCCCCCGCUGCUCGCGGAGACCGUUUUGCGCUCCACAAGACCCGGAGGCUUGGACCAGGGUGUGGAGAGGCGGCCACCCUGCCCGCAGCCUGGGAGUCUCAGCGGGUAGCGCCGAGCCCGGA
rnacentral:lncRNA from 1 species